UACGUAGGGUGCAAGCGUUGUCCGGAAUUAUUGGGCGUAAAGAGCUCGUAGGCGGUUUGUCGCGUCUGCUGUGAAAACUCGGGGCUUAACCCCGGGCCUGCAGUGGGUACGGGCAGACUAGAGUGCGGUAGGGGAGACUGGAAUUCCUGGUGUAGCGGUGAAAUGCGCAGAUAUCAGGAGGAACACCGGUGGCGAAGGCGGGUCUCUGGGCCGUAACUGACGCUGAGGCACGAAGGCCAGGGGAGCAAACGGG
rnacentral:rRNA from 1 species